rnacentral:rRNA from 1 species
CCAGAGAACUUAGCAGAGAUGCUUUGGUGCCUUCGGGAACUCUGAGACAGGUGCUGCAUGGCUGUCGUCAGCUCGUGUUGUGAAAUGUUGGGUUAAGUCCCGCAACGAGCGCAACCCUUAUCCUUUGUUGCCAGCGGCUCGGCCGGGAACUCAAAGGAGACUGCCGGUGAUAAACCGGAGGAAGGUGGGGAUGACGUCAAGUCAUCAUGGCCCUUACGGCCAGGGCUACACACGUGCUACAAUGGCGCAUACAAAGAGAAGCGACCUCGCGAGAGCAAGCGGACCUCACAAAGUGCGUCGUAGUCCGGAUUGGAGUCUGCAACUCGACUCCAUGAAGUCGGAAUCGCUAGUAAUCGUAGAUCAGAAUGCUACGGUGAAUACGUUCCCGGGCCUUGUACACACCGCCCGUCACACCAUGGGAGUGGGUUGCAAAAGAAGUAGGUUGCUUAACCUUCGGGAGGGCGCUUACCACUUUGUGAUUCAUGACUGGGGUGAAGUCGUAACAAGGUAGGCGUAGCGAG